rnacentral:rRNA from 1 species
GACCAGACUCCUACGGGAGGCAGCAGUGGGGAAUAUUGCACAAUGGGGGAAACCCUGAUGCAGCGACGCCGCGUGAGUGAAGAAGUAUUUCGGUAUGUAAAGCUCUAUCAGCAGGGAAGAAAAUGACGGUACCUGACUAAGAAGCCCCGGCUAACUACGUGCCAGCAGCCGCGGUAAUACGUAGGGGGUAAGCGUUAUCCGGAUUUACUGGGUGUAAAGGGAGCGUAGACGGCAUGGCAAGUCAGAUGUGAAAGCCCGGGGCUCAACCCCGGGACUGCAUUUGAAACUGUCAGGCUGGAGUGCAGGAGAGGUAAGUGGAAUUCCUAGUGUAGCGGUGAAAUGCGUAGAUAUUAGGAGGAACACCAGUGGCGAAGGCGGCUUACUGGACUGUAACUGACGUUGAGGCUCGAAAGCGUGGGGAGCAAACAGGAUUAGAUACCCCCGUAGG